rnacentral:rRNA from 1 species
CUGCUGCCUUCCGUAGGAGUCUGGUCCGUGUCUCAGUACCAGUGUGGGGGACCUUCCUCUCAGAGCCCCUAGACAUCGUCGCCUUGGUGGGCCGUUACCCCGCCAACAAGCUAAUGUCACGCAUGCCCAUCCGUCUCCGGAGUCGCCUCCUUUGGCCGAAAGAAGAUGCCUCCCCUCGGCCACAUGCGGUAUUAGGCCGGAUUUCUCCGGGUUAUCCCGCUGAAACGGGCAGGUUGCAUACGCGUUACUCACCCGUGCGCCGGUCG